rnacentral:rRNA from 1 species
GCGGGACACGUGGUAUCCUGUCUGAAUAUGGGGGGACCAUCCUCCAAGGCUAAAUACUCCUGACUGACCGAUAGUGAACCAGUACCGUGAGGGAAAGGCGAAAAGAACCCCGGCGAGGGGAGUGAAAAAGAACCUGAAACCGUGUACGUACAAGCAGUGGGAGCCUCUUAAUGGGGUGACUGCGUACCUUUUGUAUAAUGGGUCAGCGACUUAUAUUCUGUAGCAAGGUUAACCGAAUAGGGGAGCCGAAGGGAAACCGAGUCUUAACUGGGCGUUAAGUUGCAGGGUAUAGACCCGAAACCCGGUGAUCUAGCCAUGGGCAGGUUGAAGGUUGGGUAACACUAACUGGAGGACCGAACCGACUAAUGUUGAAAAAUUAGCGGAUGACUUGUGGCUGGGGGUGAAAGGCCAAUCAAACCGGGAGAUAGCUGGUUCUCCCCGAAAGCUAUUUAGGUAGCGCCUCGUGAAUUCAUCUCCGGGGGUAGAGCACUGUUUCGGCAAGGGGGUCAUCCCGACUUACCAACCCGAUGCAAACUGCGAAUACCGGAGAAUGUUAUCACGGGAGACACACGGCGGGUGCUAACGUCCGUCGUGAAGAGGGAAACAACCCAGACCGCCAGCUAAGGUCCCAAAGUCAUGGUUAAGUGGGAAACGAUGUGGGAAGGCCCAGACAGCCAGGAUGUUGGCUUAGAAGCAGCCAUCAUUUAAAGAAAGCGUAAUAGCUCACUGGUCGAGUCGGCCUGCGCGGAAGAUGUAACGGGGCUAAACCAUGCACCGAAGCUGCGGCAGCGACACUAUGUGUUGUUGGGUAGGGGAGCGUUCUGUAAGCCUGUGAAGGUGGCCUGUGAGGGUUGCUGGAGGUAUCAGAAGUGCGAAUGCUGACAUAAGUAACGAUAAAGCGGGUGAAAAGCCCGCUCGCCGGAAGACCAAGGGUUCCUGUCCAACGUUAA